AAUAGAUACCCUGGUAGUCCACGCCGUAAACGAUGAGUGCUAAGUGUUAGAGGGUUUCCGCCCUUUAGUGCUGCAGCUAACGCACUAAGCACUCCGCCUGGGGAGUACGGUCGCAAGACUGAAACUCAAAGGAAUUGACGGGGGCCCGCACAAGCGGUGGAGCAUGUGGUUUAAUUCGAAGCAACGCGAAGAACCUUACCAGGUCUUGACAUCCUCUGACAACUCUAGAGAUAGAGCGUUCCCCUUCGGGGGACAGAGUGACAGGUGGUGCAUGGUUGUCGUCAGCUCGUGUCGUGAGAUGUUGGGUUAAGUCCCGCAACGAGCGCAACCCUUGAUCUUAGUUGCCAGCAUUUAGUUGGGCACUCUAAGGUGACUGCCGGUGACAAACCGGAGGAAGGUGGGGAUGACGUCAAAUCAUCAUGCCCCUUAUGACCUGGGCUACACACGUGCUACAAUGGAUGGUACAAAGGGCUGCAAGACCGCGAGGUCAAGCCAAUCCCAUAAAACCAUUCUCAGUUCGGAUUGUAGG
rnacentral:rRNA from 1 species